CUGGCUCUGGAUCUGCCUGCUGCACACCUGUGGAAGAGGAAUGAAUAGAGGGGGUGUGUGAACCGUUUUUGCUCCAGACUGAGUGGCGCCACCAACAAAACACAAGACAUGCUUGAUCAACAACCCAAAACAAACCAGGUCAAACAACAACCUCAGCUCCCAUGCUAGGCCAAAACAGAGGAAUACACAGUUGCAAGCCCCAGUGAUAAGCGCUUGACACAGGGGGUUUAAAUAAUAAUAAUAAAACAGGCUUCCAGCCAACCUUGUUUGCUCAGUCCAGACCCCAUUGCUGUACUCCAGAUGACACAGAAAGGAAAGACAGUCUCAAUGCUACGAAAAGAGACUUUCUUUAGAAAAGAAUGUAGGUGCACUCAGGCCAGAGAGGCACUAGUGCUUCUAGAAUAAUACAUGAUUCAUGCAUUUAAUGGAGAAGAAAUUAACUCCUAAGGAAUGCGCAAGACUCCAACCCAUUUUAAAAAAAGAGCUAGCUGAAACAUUUACAGUGCAAAGGGCACUGGUGUAACAAUACUACAGACGGCAGAGAUGCAGCCUUUUCUCUAGAUGCCCAAUAAUUAAUUGAGACUCACCUUGAGAGUGCAGUUCAGCGGCACAGAAUACUGUCCCCCUGCUUGUUAACAGCGCCAGCCUGCACAACAAAACACCAGUUUAAAAAAAAGAAAAAUGAGUGCAAAUAAUUAGCUUGGCCAUGAUAACUGUGCUUGUAUCUGGAUCACGCACACGGGCAGAGACCAGCCUAGAGAGGUGACAAGCUCCACAAAGGAGAGCGCAAGCCACAAGGACUGCCAGCCUGGGCCAGCCAAGUCCUACCGCACACAGAUCAGUGCACCCGACAGCAGGUUGCUGGAUUCUCAGCGUGACACCUCCUGGCUCCGACACAGGCAGGGACACCAGGGGCUGCUGAGUGUCACAUUGCGAGCACACAGCCGGACCCGUCGCCCUGGCACCGCCGGCCGGAGAGUCACAGGUUCCUUUCUGUCCCUCAGAAGCAAACGCCUUCUGCUGCUAAGGGUGGAUCCCGGACGAGAAAGCUCCCUCCCGCUCCCAGCCACAGCCACAGCCAUUUUUUUUAUAUACAUAAGGGUUUGUAAAGGGUUUCAGGGCGUGUGUAUACAUAUAUACAUAUACCCUGAAACCGUUAAAUGUGCACCCUCCCCGUAAGUGUUGAGAUCAGCGACAGUCCCCGUAAGUGUGCACAGAAUCAUUGUACGGAUUCCUGGGUGCACACCCAUUAGACAUACUUCCCUGAGCGGCUGUAACUACCCAGGAAGGGUAGAUGUGUGUGCGUACGUCUAUACGCGCGCCAGCGACCAGCUCAUCCGUCUAAGGGGAAGCGCAUGGCGCGGUACAAAGCGUGUGCAUCUACAGGCAGGUGUGUGAGCGAUGCACGCGCCGAAUGGGUCACACCACGGAAGUACGCCGUCCAGGGGCUACAGGUGCAGACUGGCGGACAGAUCCUGCUCGCCCUGAAGUCAAUGGCAAGACUCCCGAGCGGGUCUCGGGCGCCCGCAGAACGACCACAGGGGUCCCGUCCGUGCAGCACCCACACGCCUAAAGGGAAUCUCUGUCGACGCCGGUCGUUGCAGAGACACAGGGAGUCCGGGGUACCCCGGCCACACACACCCUUCACGGAGCGCCCAGCAUGAGCCCUGCAGUCCCCAGCUGGCUGGCCAAUGCUACGCGUACACACUCCUGCCCAGCGUGGGCAACGCGGCCAGCGCCGCGCCUCGCGUUUCCCCUGCCACGGCGCUUACCGGGUCGGUGUUGAGCGCUGUAAGCGGGGUCCGGGGGCUGGCUGCGGGGCAGCUCCCUGGGUGCAGCGGGGGUGGCUGCUGCUGCUGCUGCCUGAGCAGAGCCGGGUGCGUCUCCAGAGCCAGCUGCAGGUCGAGGAUGUAGUCGAUGACAUGCUGCAGGAUCUCCACUUUGCUGACCCGCUUGUUGGGCGGGAUGGUGGGCACUAGCUUCCGGAGCCGGCUGUAACAGUCAUUCAUAUCGCACUGCAGGCACAGCGACGCCGGCUCCUCGCCCGACGGGGCCCCCUUGCAGCCGUGCUCGGCCAGGCAGCGCAGAGCCAACUGCCCGCCUCCGCCGCCUCCUCCUCCGCCGCCGCCUCCUCCAGCGCCGCCGCAGCAGCCCGCUUGCGCCUUCCUGCUGGGGUGGCGGACGGGACUGACCGCCUUCAUGGUGCACAGGGAGAGAGCCCCUCGGGCGCCGAUGCACACCGCGGACCGCCCGCAAUGCAACAAGAGCAAGAGGCAGCGCUCAGCCAACGCAGCGAUCCCUUCCUAACGCAACCAAGGAGGGGCAGCCCGUCUCUGGAUACAAUCUCCGGGCUUUGCCAGAGGGGAUGCCAGACCGUGCAAAGAAAAUCCACCCACCCAGGCUAGUCAUUC